UACGGGGGGUGCAAGCGUUGUUCGGAAUUAUUGGGCGUAAAGAGCGUGUAGGCGGUUUGGUAAGUCAGAUGUGAAAGCCCCGGGCUUAACUCGGGAAGUGCAUUUGAAACUGCCUUACUAGAGUAGGGAAGAGGAAAGCGGAAUUCCUGGUGUAGAGGUGGAAUUCGUAGAUAUCAGGAGGAACACCAGCGGCGAAGGCGGCUUUCUGGUCCUUUACUGACGCUGAGACGCGAAAGCGUGGGUAG
rnacentral:rRNA from 1 species